rnacentral:rRNA from 1 species
UACAGAGGGUGCAAGCGUUGUUCGGAAUUACUGGGCGUAAAGCGUGCGUAGUCGGUAUUGAGAGUCACGGGUGAAAUCCCAAGGCUUAACCUUGGAACUGCCUGUGAGACCUCAGUACUAGAGUGUGAGAGGGGAUAGUGGAAUUCCUGGUGUAGCGGUGAAAUGCGCAGAUAUCAGGAAGAACACCCGUGGCUAAGGCGGCUCUCUAGUACGGUACUGACGCUGAGACGCGAAAGCGUGGGGAGCGAACAGG